CGGGGGAUACUGCCAGACUUGGAACCGGGAGAGGUAAGAGGUACUACAGGGGUAGGAGUGAAAUCUUGUAAUCCCUGUGGGACCACCUGUGGCGAAGGCGUCUUAUCAGAACGGGUUCGACGGUGAGGGACGAAAGCUGGGGGCACGAACCGGAUUAGAUACCCGGGUAGUCCCAGCCGUAAACGAUGCUCGCUAGGUGUCAGGCAUGGCCGCGACCGUGUCUGGUGCCGCAGGGAAGCCGUGAAGCGAGCCACCUGGGAAGUACGGCCGCAAGGCUGAAACUUAAAGGAAUUGGCGGGGGAGCACAACAACGGGUGGAAGCCUGCGGUUUAAUUGGACUCAACGCCGGACUAACUCACCGGGGGGCGACAGCAAUAUGUAGGCCUAAGCUGAAGACUUUGCCUGAAUCGCUGAGGGGAGGUGCAUGG
rnacentral:rRNA from 1 species